GUAGGUGAACCUGCGGAAGGAUCAUUACCAAGUCCUUUAUGAAAAUGAACGACACCGCUUGUGUGGAUUUGUUUGAAUUAUGAAGUGUGUUUCAUCUUGGCUGGUGUGUGGAGAAUUGGAGUAAGAAGGGUUCAUUCCUUCUAUGACAAAAACCCCCCACACCGCCAACAUGACAUUUUACACCUUGUCACCUUGUAAACAAUCAGUAUACUUUCUUUUUUGAACGCGUCAUCACGACGACUCAAAAAACACAACACAUAUACAACUUUUAACGGUGGAUCUCUUGGCUCGC
rnacentral:misc_RNA from 1 species